rnacentral:rRNA from 1 species
GUCCAAGAGAUCGGGAUAACACCUGGAAACAGAUGCUAAUACCGGAUAACAACAGAUGAUGCCUAUCAACUGUUUAAAAGAUGGUUCUGCUAUCACUCUUGGAUGGACCUGCGGUGCAUUAGCUAGUUGGUAGGGUAACGGCCUACCAAGGCGAUGAUGCAUAGCCGAGUUGAGAGACUGAUCGGCCACAUUGGGACUGAGACACGGCCCAAACUCCUACGGGAGGCAGCAGCU